GUAGGGUGCGAGCGUUAAUCGGAAUUACUGGGCGUAAAGCGUGCGCAGGCGGUUUUGUUAGACAGGCGUGAAAUCCCCGGGCUCAACCUGGGAAUGGCGCUUGUGACUGCAAGGCUAGAGUAUGUCAGAGGGGGGUAGAAUUCCACGUGUAGCAGUGAAAUGCGUAGAGAUGUGGAGGAAUACCGAUGGCGAAGGCAGCCCCCUGGGACGUGACUGACGCUCAUGCNCGAAAGCGUGGGGAGCAAACAGGAUUAGAUACCCUGGUAGUCUACGCCCUAAACGAUGUCAACUAGUUGUUGGGGAUUCAUUUCUUCAGUAACGUAGCUAACGCGUGAAGUUGACCGCCUGGGGAGU
rnacentral:rRNA from 1 species